GAUGAAGAACGUAGCGAAAUGCGAUACUUGGUGUGAAUUGCAGAAUCCCGUGAACCAUCGAGUCUUUGAACGCAAGUUGCGCCCGAAGCCACUAGGCCGAGGGCACGCCUGCCUGGGCGUCACACGCCGUUGCCCCCCCAUCUACUCCUUCGGGAUUGCGGGGGGGCGGAUGAUGGCCUCCCGUGCGCCUAGCCGCGCGGUUGGCAUAAAUACCAAGUCCUCGGCGACGCACGCCACGACAAUCGGUGGUUGCGAAACCUCGGUUGCCCGUCGUGUGCGUUCGUCGCGCAUCGAGGGCUCGAAAAAAUGCUCGGCUCCGGCUGGGCUUUCAACGCGACACCAGGUCAGGCGGGGUUACCCGCUGAAUUUAAGCAUAUCAAUAAGCGGAGGA
rnacentral:misc_RNA from 1 species